rnacentral:misc_RNA from 1 species
UUGAAAUAAAUCUGAUAAGUUGUUGCUGGCUCUCUAGGGAGCAUUGUGCAUACUUGUCGUUUUAUCAUUUCUUCACCUGUGCACCUUUUGUAGACUUUUGGAUAUCUUUCUGAUGCUUUUUUUAUGCACUCAGUUGUGAAGAUUGAUGCUUGUCUUUCUUUAUAUUUCCAAGUCUAUGUUCAUUAUAUUUUGACCCCGAUAUGUAUGGUGUAUAUGUAUAGGCAUAUGUAAAGCCUUUUUUAAAUA